rnacentral:rRNA from 1 species
AGAGUUUGAUCCUGGCUCAGAAUCAACGCUGGCGGCGUGCCUCAGACAUGCAAGUCGAACGCGAAAGCUUCCUUCGGGAAGCGAGUAGAGUGGCGCACGGGUGAGUAACACGUAGGUAAUCUACCUUUGAGUGGGGAAUAACAAUCGGAAACGAUUGCUAAUACCGCAUAAUGCAGCGGCAUCUUCGGAUGACAGUUGUUAAAGGAGCAAUCCGCUUAAAGAGGAGCCUGCGGCAGAUUAGCUAGUUGGUAGGGUAACGGCUUACCAAGGCGACGAUCUGUAUCCGACCUGAGAGGGUGGUCGGACACACUGACACUGAAUAACGGGUCAGACUCCUACGGGAGGCAGCAGUCGGGAAUUUUGGGCAAUGGGCGAAAGCCUGACCCAGCAACGCCGCGUGAAGGAUGAAGUCUUUCGGGAUGUAAACUUCGUAAGAAUGGGAAGAAUAAAUGACGGUACCAUUUGUAAGGUCCGGCUAACUACGUGCCAGCAGCCGCGGUAAUACGUAGGGACCAAGCGUUGUUCGGAUUUACUGGGCGUAAAGGGCGCGUAGGCGGCGAAUCAAGUCAGCUGUGAAAUCUCCGGGCUUAACUCGGAACGGUCAGCUGAUACUGUUUUGCUAGAGUGCAGA